rnacentral:rRNA from 1 species
AGCGAACGCUGGCGGCAGGCCUAAUACAUGCAAGUCGAGCGCACCUUCGGGUGAGCGGCGGACGGGUGAGCAACGCGUGGGAACGUGCCCUUUGGUACGGGAUAACUGAGGGAAACUUCAGCUAAUACCGUAUGUGCCCUACGGGGGAAAGAUUUAUCGCCAUUGGAGCGGCCCGCGUUGGAUUAGGUAGUUGGUGAGGUAAAGGCUCACCAAGCCUACGAUCCAUAGCUGGUCUGAGAGGAUGAUCAGCCACACUGGGACUGAGACACGGCCCAGACUCCUACGGGAGGCAGCAGUAGGGAAUCUUGCGCAAUGGGCGAAAGCCUGACGCAGCCAUGCCGCGUGAAUGAUGAAGGUCUUAGGAUUGUAAAAUUCUUUCACCGGGGAAGAUAAUGACGGUACCCGGAGAAGAAGCCCCGGCUAACUUCGUGCCAGCCGCCGCUGUAAGAC